rnacentral:rRNA from 1 species
UAAGGAAUAUUGGUCAAUGGACGCAAGUCUGAACCAGCCAUGCCGCGUGAAGGAUGACGGCCCUCUGGGUUGUAAACUUCUUUUAUAGGGGGAGAAAAAAGAUCAUUAUUGGUCGUCUGACGGUACCCUAUGAAUAAGCACCGGCUAACUCCGUGCCAGCAGCCGCGGUAAUACGGAGGGUGCAAGCGUUAUCCGGAUUCACUGGGUUUAAAGGGAGCGCAGGCGGAUUAGUAAGUCAGUGGUGAAAGCCUUAAGCUUAACUUGGGAACUGCCAUUGAUACUAUUAGUCUUGAAUGUUGUUGAGGUUUGCGGAAUGGGUCAUGUAGCGGUGAAAUGCAUAGAUAUGACCCGGAACACCUAUUGCGAAGGCAGCAGGCUAAACAAAUAUUGACGCUGAGGCUCGAAAGCGUGGGGAUCAAACAG